GGAAAAAACUUAUCACCUUCAGAUCUUACCCUCCUUUACCUCAGACAGGAUAGAGAGAAAAUAUGUUAUCUCCUCCAAGCCUUCAGAGAAAGAGCCUGACUCUGCCAACUGCCAGAGACCAACUACCACACCCAAAAAAAUAUUAG
rnacentral:lncRNA from 1 species